rnacentral:rRNA from 1 species
ACGUCUUCCUCCCCCUUUUUUCUGAGUUACUGGGCGUAAAGAGUGCGUAGGCGGUUGGGUAAGUUCGGUGUGAAAUCUCCCGGCUCAACUGGGAGGGUGCGCCGAAAACUGCCUGGCUCGAGUGCCGGAGAGGAAAGCGGAAUUCCUGGUGUAGCGGUGAAAUGCGUAGAUAACAGGAGGAACACCGGUGGUGUAGACGGCUUUCUGGACGGCCACUGACGCUGAGGCACGAAAGCGUGGGGAGCAAACAG